GGGCUUGUGCCGCGAGAGAGGGCGCCGGGCUGGGGCCGGAACCGUUUUUCGUGGCGUCGGCGUCUAGUCGGACCUGGAUUCCACAGGAAGUGGGAGCGCCGCGGUUUGCAGGAAGGGCUGGGAAUUCAGAGGGUAUGGUCGCUGCACGGUUCUACCGCACCACGGAGCCCGUCUGGGGCCCGAGGUCGGGAGCAAAAGCAGAGGGACAGUUUGUAGAGACUUGAGCUAAGCUCAGGGCGGGAAGGGAAAGCGGAUGUGGGGCUCUCCAUGGGGCAGGGGAAGCCCUAGAGUCCGGGACUGAUGAUCCUGAUGCCGAUAUUCUGACCUCGAGUGUGAGCGCUCGGCUUCUGUGUUUGGCUUCACUAAAAGGGGAAGGAGGAAGGGGGCGAGUAGAUGCCGUCCUCAGACGAGGGAUCUCAACCAGGGAGGCCGCGCAGCCGGCCGAGGACGCGCACGGUGGCUCACCAGCAGCACAACCACUAUCCAGACCCCAAUCCCCUUCUUUCGGCUUGGAGAGGCGAAAGGAAGCCGAGGUUCUUCCGGCAGACGGGGGCUUGGAAGUGGUUUGUUCCCGGCUUGUAGUAAGCGGCACUGUUGAGAGUAGAAGCCAGGCCUCCUGAUUUUUAGCUUCUCCCUCCCUCCGGGCGUCUCUCCACAGCAGCCUGCCCGGCAGGUGCUUCCCGAAACCGACUGUUGCCCAAACGUACACGUCCCCGAGUGAAAGGUGCUUCAUACAUGACCCCAAGUCCGCAUUCUGCCGCGCAAGGCAGGAGCAAACGAGUGUCGGUGGAGCGGUCGUGAGGUUUUCCUUGGGUUUGGGGCAGUAGAGGCCAGAAUGGGGCUCGCGUCCGACUGCAGGAGCUGGUGAAGGCCCUAUGUUGGAUGGGGCGUCUGGACUGGAUAAAGUGAAAAGUCAUGCUAGAAAAAUUGUGUGGGAAGUAGACAAAUUCUGGUGCUUUUUUAUUGCACUUUCCAGGCUGGAUGACAGACCUGUAAGGACUGAGUGGACCUUUGAGUGACAUGAUGGGGAUGCUCAGCGAGACAACGACAGCCUGCAGCUGGGACUUUACCUUUAGUGCAGGUGGUGCUAAGUGGUAGCUUCUACUUUAGGUUAAAAUAAACAGAUCUCUUCUUAAAGUGAGGGGUUCCAAAUUGUUGUUUCUGCUUUGUUUUUAGCAGAUCAGUAAGGCCGAAAACUUGGUUCACUUAAUCUAGGGUGGUAGAAAUAGGCAAAAAUACGAAGAUAGAUUCUACUCCCUACUUGCCAUCAGGCACCUAUGCAUUGGAACAGAGGUUCCCCAGGGGCCACAUACAUUUCCAGUAGUAACCUUGUUUCAGGUUAACUGAGAAAAUUCAAGCCAUUAUGCAACACACACCUUAAGGUCCUGCGUCCCGUGUCCGUCCCUGCCUUGCGUAUCUUCCUCUUACUCAUUUGCCUGGGCUGCCGAUCAGUGUUUCUCUUUCUAGACCUCUCAGCUGUAUUACUACCACUGAUCAGUCCCUCCUUGAAACCUAACUCCCUUUGCUUUGCUCCUUUUUCUUCUUGUUACUUCAUACUUAGCUGGCUCUUUCUCUACUCUCUUUAAAUAGUGUAAGUUCCAACAUCAUCGUCAUCGUCAUCAUCAUCAUCAUCGUUACUAUUAUUUUGUCUGUGUUUUCUCCUUGGGCGUAUCAUCCACUCACUGUUUUAAUCUGUUUGUUCACGAAGCCUAAAACUACUGUUGUUCCAGACUUCUCCCUUGAGAUUCAGCUUUCACUUCUAUUGGUUCACAAGUUCCUUGGGGCCUUCCUAGGUGUAUUCUGAAACCAGGCCCAUAGUUGGAUGGCAGGGAGAGGCAAAAGAAAGAGGUAGGCCAUGCUGGAUUGGUAGGUAGUGGGUUGGAUAAGCAAAGGAACUUGCAGAGAAGACUUGUGUUGGGUGGCUGCAAGAGGAGAAGAUCUCUUGACUUGCCUGCCAAAUCUUGAAAGUUUAUAUCCUUUCAGUCACGUAUACAAUCCAGAUGGGUCUCAACAGCACAUCACUAUCUCAAGGCUGUGUCCUUGGAGCAGCCUCUGGGUGCAGAGAAGGCAAGCUGGACACAUACCAAGAACGGGGGGUGGAAUGAGGAGCCUCCAGUUGCCAGUGUCCAGCUCACAGGUCAACCAGUGGUCAUGUCCUCUUGGUGACCAAUAAUUUCCUUGCCUUCUCGAUAGAUCCACUUGGGAGAGUGCAUGAACCACUCCAAUUUUAGUUUAUCCCUUUCAUUUCCAUUACCUUAGUGCUGUUUCUACCUUUACCACCCCUGCCCACACCCCCAAAUUCAUCUUGUAAGUAGGAGCCAUAAUGAUCAGUCCCAAAUGUAAAUCUAGACGUUUCACUUGUCUGCUUAUAUUUCUUCCAUCCAUCUUAUCACCUCCAAGGUAAAGUCUUAACUUCAUAGCCUGGCAUGCUAAGAACUUCAUGAUCUUGUCACUGUUUAUGUUUCCAACCUGACCUCCCAUCACACCCAUUUCCGGGUCAUGAGGCAGUUUUAUACUUUGAGACCUUAUUUUUGUUGACUGUCUGGGCUAUCCUGAUUUUCUUUGCCUGACUUUUAGUUAUCCUUACUUAUUUUUUUGGAGGCCUUUCAAGAAGUUUUUACCUAAUCUACAGUCUGAAUUAGUUGACUUUACUCCUGGCUUUUACUGGCAAUCAUCUUUUCAUUCAAAAAACUUUAUUAAGCCCCUAAUUUUGUGCCAGAUGCUGAGCUACAUUCUAGAAACAUAAUAGUGAAUAGAUUGAUAGAAACCAAUCCAAUAAUUGACCUGACAUUCUCAUAGGGAAGGGAGGCAGGUAAUAAAAAUAUGUUUUAAAAGAAUGCAGUUCAGCCUGAUUGGCUCCAUGCUUGAGAAUAUCUGGGAAUUGGCCAGGUUUAACAGAUGCGGGGGUGGGGAAGAGAAGGGAGGAGAGACAGGUGCUGCAGAUAGAGGUUAUAAGUCAUUUGAAGGCCCGUUCAGGAGAGGAGAGCACAGUCUAGGAACACAGAUUCCAAACAAAGGGCUCAGGAGGUAAACAGGGACCAGAUCAUGAAUAUUCUAGUCAUGUUAAGGAGUUCUUACUGAAGACAUUAGAAAGCUUAAAGGAUUUUGACAUGACUAGGUUUAUAUUUUAGGUGAUGAUUCUGGCUAGUGUGAGAAAAAUGGAAUUCAAGAGUGGCAAGGAAACAAGUUCAAGAGGGAGAGAAACCAGUUGGUACAUCAUUAUAGUAAUCCAGAGAAAAGAAGACAGCAGUCUGUACAGGGGUAUUGCCGGUGUGAAGGAAACAGAUCCCAAAGGAAUUUAAGAAGUAGAAGUGGUGGGGACACCUGGGUGGCUCAGUGGUUAAGCAUCUGCUUUCUGCUCAGGUCAUGAUCCCAGGGACCUGGGGUUGAGUCCAGCUAUCAUAUAUUCAUAGCCUAGUACAGGUCCUUAAAUGUAGAUGCUUGAUAAAUGUCGUUCCGUGAGAGUUUUCUGACUCAAGCACCCAGACAAAUGGGGUGUCAUUCUGAUUUAUAGAGGGAAACUCAUUUGGUGGUGAGCAGUGGUUGAGUUUUAGGCAUGUCAAACUCAAGACGCGCCUGUGGGAGAUACACAUGAAAAUGUCCAGAUCCAUGGCAUUUGGAAGAGAUCAGUGGAUUCUUUGUAUACAUAGAAAUAAACAAACAAACAAAUAAAUAAAUAAAAGUUUCUAUUAUACUGAAA